rnacentral:rRNA from 1 species
GCUUAGCCGUAAACAUUGACAGUUUAAUACAUUUUCUGUCCGCCUGGGUACUACGAGCAUUAGCUUAAAACCCAAAGGACUUGGCGGUGCUUUAGACCCACCUAGAGGAGCCUGUUCUAGAACCGAUAAUCCCCGUUCAACCUCACCCUUCCUUGCUCGUCCCGCCUAUAUACCACCGUCGCCAGCUUACCCUGUGAAGGGUAAAAAGUAAGCAAAAUUGGCACUGCCCAGAACGUCAGGUCGAGGUGUAGCGAAUGGAGGGGGAAGAAAUGGGCUACAUUCCCUUUUUAAAUACAGGGUACCACGAAAGAUGCACUGAUACCGUACAUCUGAACGAGGAUAUUAGCAGUAAGCGGAAAACAGAGUGUUCCACUGAAACCGGCUCUUAAGCGCGC